GACAUGAGAGGGAGAAGACAGGCUCCAUGCAGAGAGCCCAAUAUGGGACUUGAUCCCGGGUCUCCAGGAUCACACCCUAGGCCAAAGGCAGCACUAAACCGCUGAGCCACCUGGGCUGCCCACAUUUCAAGAUGUUAAAUAAGAAGUUCUCGCUGAGACAUCAAGAUAAAAUAUAUGACAAACAAGAGAAAUAAGCCAUAAGAGGAUAGAGAUCUUCAAAAGGAUUAUCUAAAAAGUGGUAACAGGCUUCAGAUCCUUCGCCUACGUUCAAGAUAGAAAGAGGGGCUCAAUAAAUAGCACCUGUCUUUCCCACCCAGGUUCUGAAUAAAUUGGGAAACAAAAUGAAAGGUAGCAGAGAGGCCAAAAUGCCUCCUUUGUUACUAAGAGACACUGAGCUGGAGGCUAGGGCUUUAGUAUGGCACCAAGUGCAGCUGCUCACCGACCCCAGGCUGACCUGAGCAGGACGGAUCCAUGGCUGAGGGUAGGAUCCGUGCCAGAGGCAGAAGAGGGCCCAGGCUAAGCUUUCCCAGUGACUGAAUAGUGUCAGGAAAUGGCACCAGGGUCUUACAACAAAAUAUCAGGGGGUCGAGGAUUGGGAGGGAAGAUAUGUGAAGAGAGUUUUUCUCUGGAGGGCCGUCUAGAAGCUCCUGUCACCUCCAAGUUGUUUUCUCACUGCAAAGUCUUCAUUCAGAGAGCUUCACGCACAUCUCCUGCAGCUUGGCGCGGGCUUGGGACUGGGCCAGCACGGGGAGGCCUGAGGGAGAGGGAAGAGGGAGAGGGAGAGACAGGAGGUGGGGGAAGAGGAAGGAACCGAGCUCCUGUCCAAUAGGGCCACCUAGAGGAGCUCUUAGGCUUCAGCAGGGAGCGGCUGGAGCGGUGACGCGGAGCUGAGGCUAGUUUCAGCUGAUGAAGGGACUUCAGGUGAGAGGCCCGGCGUGGGGGAUGGUGGGUCCCUGAGGCCCCGAGAGAGCGCCCCACCCCGGGCACGGGCGGCUCUCGAGUUCACAGCCUCGCUUAUAAAGAGAGAAGCUACCUACGAGCCCACCAAGCUGAGCUCAUUUGUGGUAUCUCUGCCUUUAUGAAGUGUGCCGCCUAAACCAGGACCAGGGAUGUUAAGAACACUGGAAACUCCCAUCUAAAGGAAGGCCAAGUCCCCUGAUGGCUUUGCUAUAUUUCCCCCUGGUGGCAUGCCGGAUGCAUAGCCACUCCUGGGCUACGUGCAAGUUAUGAACUCCAGAGGGAAAAUGAUAAAUGCACUUGAUCUCAGCCAAAAAGCCGAGAAGCGAUUGAUAAAUCAGUCACCGUAGUCUUCCUGUGAUCUCUUUCUCCUCGAAGCACUCUCCCAGCAAAUGUUAAUUACAGCUAUUGAUUCAGAAUCCAGAUAAAAGACUUUAAAUGAACAAGCCACCCAUUUGCGGAAAUCCCUGCCUGGAAAUCCUACCCCCAACCCCCGGUGGAGGCGAGAGGCAUGGCCAGCCCUGAUGCGUCUCUCAAGGAGUCUUCAGUGCUUCUGCUGGGCAGUCACAGGCAGGAGAAUCAGUAAUAGAUGAUGCCUUGCCCCCACGCUCCCUACUUGGCUAGCUGCGUCCGAGUUAAUAUCUAAGAUCUGGCAAAUAAAAGAAUCUUCAAAGAAAGUUGGACAUCUUGGAAAGAACUUUUAAAAUACCUCCUGUCUUCAUUUUAAGGAUGAAACCUUCUCUGAGGCCCAGAGAAGUUAAGCUACUGUCCACCCUGGCUCUCUUAACAGCUUGAGGUUCCAACCUCAGAUGGGCUAUAAAAUGUGUCCUGUGGAAGCCUGGGCAAGAGACAUUGCCUCUCUGAGCCUCAGUUUCCCCAAGUGAAAACUGAAGGACCCAUCACUAGGAGGCUCCUCAGCAGUGGAACCUUCACACACUGAGGGAGAUGGAGGAAACCCCUCUGAUUGUUGUCACCAGACACCUUGAUCUGUCCAGGACAACAGUGACCCCUUUGCCUAUCCUCUUACCAACGGUCCACCUCACUAAACCUUCAUGGCUGCAUUAAAUGAGAACCUCUAAUGAGGCGCAUGUGACUCGGGCUUGCCUCCAUAGAGAGCUUUCAUCCUUCAGUGGAACCCCAACAGGAAGAAGCGUACCUUACUAUCCCAGCAGGAGGAACGAAGAUUUUCUCUUGCUCAGCAACAGCCCCACCAAUGAGAAACCACCACAAUUCAGACCGAGGCUCAGAGGGCUGCAAGCAAUGAGGCAAUCAGCUCUGAGGAAAAACAAAAGACUGCUCACCCCAAGAGGAAGCAAAAGGUAGAGAAAAGAAACAAGCUCUCCUUUGUACGCAAAGCAGCAGCCUCACCCAGCCAGUUGUCACUUAUUCUCAAUCCGAGCUGGAGCACACCCUUUCUGUGCAUGGAACCCCUCAUGUCUCAAAAUGUAUUUGCUCUUUUCUUGAUCAUCAUUUAAGACAAUAACUGAAGUGAAUUCUGCUCGUAGGUUGUCUUCUCAACGGUAACGGUUUGUGUCUUGCUGUAUUUACAGCAUCCUUGGCUAUUUCAGAAAUACUUCUUUUAGAGUUCUUUGAGAUAAACAGUUGGUUAAAUUGGGGGGGGGCAGGAAAUGCAUUUUUUAGAGAAGACAUUUUGAAACAUCCACAAUGUCAUUGCGAUUAGUAGCACACAAAUACACAAUUUUACUGUAACUGUUGGGAAAAUCAAGGUUGUGAAGUAAAAUGAUUUUUUGAAAUCCGCUGCCAUAACAUGUUCAAUUUAAAAGUUAAUGCAGGGCAGCCCCGGGUGGCUCAGUGGUUUGGCGCCAUCUUCGGCCCAGGGCGUGAUCCUGGGAACCCGGGAUCGAGUCCCACAUCGGGCUCCCUGCAUGGAGCCUG